UACAGGGGGUGCAAACGUUGCUCGGAAUUAUUGGGCGUAAAGCGCGCGUAGGCGGCUACUUAAGUCGGAUGUGAAAGCCCUUGGCUCAACUGAGGAAGUGCACCCGAAACUGAGUGGCUUGAGUACUAAAGAGGGUCGCGGAAUUCCCGGUGUAGAGGUGAAAUUCGUAGAUAUCGGGAGGAACACCGGUGGCGAAGGCGGCGACCUGGGUAGAUACUGACGCUGAGGCACGAAAGCGUGGGGAGCAAACAGGG
rnacentral:rRNA from 1 species